rnacentral:rRNA from 1 species
GUAGGUGGCAAGCUUUGUCCGGAAUUAUUGGGCGUAAAGCGCGCGCAGGCGGUCCUUUAAGUCUGAUGUGAAAGCCCACGGCUCAACCGUGGAGGGUCAUUGGAAACUGGGGGACUUGAGUACAGAAGAGGAAAGCGGAAUUCCAAGUGUAGCGGUGAAAUGCGUAGAGAUUUGGAGGAACACCAGUGGCGAAGGCGGCUUUCUGGUCUGUAACUGACGCUGAGGCGCGAAAGCGUGGGGAGCAAACAGGGAUUAGAUACCCUGGUAGUCCACGCCGUAAACGAUGAGUGCUAAGUGUUAGGGGGUUUCCCGCCCCUUAGUGCUGCAGCUAACGCAUUAAGCACUCCGCCUGGGGAGUACGGCCGCAAGGCUG